UGACCUUUGACCUCAAAUCAGGUAGGACUACCCGCUGAACUUAAGCAUAUCAAUAAGCGGAGGAAAAGAAACUAACAAGGAUUCCCCUAGUAACUGCGAGUGAAGCGGGAAAAGCUCAAAUUUAAAAUCUGGUGGUCUUUGGCCAUCCGAGUUGUAGUCUGGAGAAGUGCUUUCCGCGCUGGACCGUGUACAAGUCUCUUGGAACAGAGCGUCAUAGAGGGUGAGAAUCCCGUCUUUGACACGGACUACCAGUGCUUUGUGAUGCGCUCUCAAAGAGUCGAGUUGUUUGGGAAUGCAGCUCAAAAUGGGUGGUGAAUUCCAUCUAAAGCUAAAUAUUGGCGAGAGACCGAUAGCGAACAAGUACCGUGAGGGAAAGAUGAAAAGCACUUUGGAAAGAGAGUUAAACAGUACGUGAAAUUGCUGAAAGGGAAACGCUUGAAGUCAGUCGCGUUGUCUGGAACUCAGCCUUGCCUUGGCUUGGUGUAAUUUUCAGUUAACGGGCCAGCACCGAUUUUGAUCGUUGGAAAAAGGCUGGGGGAAUGUGGCACCUUCGGGUGUGUUAUAGCCCUUGGUCACAUACGACGGUUGGGAUCGAGGAAUGCAGCACGCCUUUAUGUCGCAGUUUAUGCCCCGUUCGUGCUAGGAUGCGCAAAUCUCAGUCGUAGGCGUAGGGGGACCC
rnacentral:rRNA from 1 species